ACCAGGUGUGGUAGGCACGCCUGUAAUCCAAGCAGCUCAGGAGGCUGAGGCAGGAGAAUCAUAAGUUAAAAGCCAGCCUCAGAAAUGGCAAGGCACUAAGCAACUCAGUGAGUGAGAUCCUGUCUCUA
rnacentral:sRNA from 1 species